UACGUAGGUGGCAAGCGUUGUCCGGAUUUACUGGGCGUAAAGAGCGCGCAGGCGGUUGUGCAAGUCGCGUGUGAAAGCCCCCGGCUCAACUGGGGAGGGUCACGCGAUACUGUUCGACUUGAAGGCAGGAGAGGGAAGUGGAAUUCCCGGUGUAGUGGUGAAAUGCGUAGAUAUCGGGAGGAACACCAGUGGCGAAGGCGACUUCCUGGCCUGUUCUUGACGCUGAGGCGCGAAAGCUAGGGUAGCAAACGGA
rnacentral:rRNA from 1 species